AUACUGGAUCAACGAUCUACUUCAUGUAUCCCUAUUAUUUUGUCCUACGAAUAGUAAUGACUUUGACUUUUGAUUUUUACUGAAUACUGCAACGAUGCAAGGCGUAUGUUUGUAGAAAUGCAGUUAGAAAUAUUGGGGGAAAUGAGCGGUUAGCUGAUCGUGAAUGUCGGCGUUGUCGACCACUACCUCGUGUACUGUUACUAGUAUUACUCAAGCUGCUACUUCAAUACCCCCAUUCUCUUGGUCUUUCAAUCCAUGUAAGCGUUUGCAUCCAACUGGACAUGUCUUCUUUGAGGUAUUUAUUCUGAC